rnacentral:ncRNA from 1 species
AGCUACAAGGCCAAACCCGUCGUGAGACGGGGGACGGGAAAACCAUGGGUCUCCAGCUUGCUGGAGAUCGCCAGGUUGCCGGUU